rnacentral:rRNA from 1 species
UACGUAGGGGGCAAGCGUUGUCCGGAAUUAUUGGGCGUAAAGAGCGCGUAGGCGGUCCGAUAAGUCGGCUGUGAAAGUCAGGGGCUCAACCCUUGAAAGCCGGCCGAUACUGUCGGACUAGAGUCCGGAAGAGGCAAGUGGAAUUCCCGGUGUAGCGGUGAAAUGCGCAGAUAUCGGGAGGAACACCAAUGGCGAAGGCAGCUUGCUGGGACGGUACUGACGCUGAGGCGCGAAAGCGUGGGGGAGCAAACAGG